rnacentral:rRNA from 1 species
GAUGAACGCUGGCGGCGUGCCUAAUACAUGCAAGUCGAGCGAACAGACGAGGAGCUUGCUCCUCUGACGUUAGCGGCGGACGGGUGAGUAACACGUGGAUAACCUACCUAUAAGACUGGGAUAACUUCGGGAAACCGGAGCUAAUACCGGAUAAUAUAUUGAACCGCAUGGUUCAAUAGUGAAAGACGGUUUUGCUGUCACUUCUAGAUGGAUCCGCGCCGCAUUAGCUAGUUGGUAAGGUAACGGCUUACCAAGGCAACGAUGCGUAGCCGACCUGAGAGGGUGAUCGGCCACACUGGAACUGAGACACGGUCCAGACUCCUACGGGAGGCAGCAGUAGGGAAGCUUCCGCAAUGGGCGAAAGCCUGACGGAGCAACGCCGCGUGAGUGAUGAAGGUCUUCGGAUCGUAAAACUCUGUUAUUAGGGAAGAACAAAUGUGUAAGUAACUAUGCACGUCUUGACGGUACCUAAUCAGAAAGCCACGGCUAACUACGUG